UGACCUCGGAUCAGGUGGGAAUACCCGCUAACUAGCUCUAAUG
rnacentral:rRNA from 1 species